UACGUAGGGUGCGAGCGUUGUCCGGAUUUAUUGGGCGUAAAGGGCUCGUAGGCGGCGUGUCGCGUCGGGAGUGAAAGACCGGGGCUUAACCCCGGUUCUGCUUCCGGUACGGGCAUGCUGGAGUGUGGCAGGGGAGACUGGAAUUCCUGGUGUAGCGGCGGAAUGCGCAGAUAUCAGGAGGAACACCGGUGGCGAAGGCGGGUCUCUGGGCCAUUACUGACGCUGAGGAGCGAAAGCGUGGGGAGCGAACAGG
rnacentral:rRNA from 1 species